rnacentral:pre_miRNA from 1 species
ACAACAUUGGGUCCGUUGGUCUACCGAGCAAUGUCAUCCUCUCGGUAGAAGAUCUUCUCUUUGUCAU